GUGGGGAAUCUUAGACAAUGGGCGCAAGCCUGAUCUAGCCAUGCCGCGUGGACGAUGAAGGCCUUAGGGUUGUAAAGUCCUUUCGCUGGGGAAGAUAAUGACGGUACCCAGUAAAGAAGCCCCGGCUAACUCCGUGCCAGCAGCCGCGGUAAUACGGAGGGGGCUAGCGUUGUUCGGAAUUACUGGGCGUAAAGCGCGCGUAGGCGGAUCGGAAAGUUGGGGGUGAAAUCCCGGGGCUCAACCUCGGAACUGCCUUCAAAACUCCCGGUCUUGAGUUCGAGAGAGGUGAGUGGAAUUCCGAGUGUAGAGGUGAAAUUCGUAGAUAUUCGGAGGAACACCAGUGGCGAAGGCGGCUCACUGGCUCGAUACUGACGCUGGGGUGCGAAAGCGUGGGGAGCAAACAGGAUUAGAAACCCGAGUAGUCC
rnacentral:rRNA from 1 species